CCUACGGGUGGCAGCAGUGAGGAAUAUUGGUCAAUGGACGAGAGUCUGAACCAGCCAAGUAGCGUGAAGGAUGAAUGCCCUAUGGGUUGUAAACUUCUUUUAUAUGGGAAUAAAAUGUUCCACGUGUGGGAUUUUGUAUGUACCAUAUGAAUAAGGCUCGGCUAACUCCGUGCCAGCAGCCGCGGUAAUACGGAGGAUCCGAGCGUUAUCCGGAUUUAUUGGGUUUAAAGGGAGCGUAGGUGGAUUGUUAAGUCAGUUGGGAAAGUUUGCGGCUCAACCGUAAAAUUGCAGUUGAAACUGGCAGUCUUGAGUACAGUAGAGGUGGGCGGAAUUCGUGGUGUAGCGGUGAAAUGCUUAGAUAUCACGAAGAACUCCGAUUGCGAAGGCAGCUCACUGGACUGCAACUGACACUGAGGCUCGAAGGUGUGGGUAUCAAACAGGAUUAGAUACCCGAGUAGUC
rnacentral:rRNA from 1 species